AAGUCGUAACAAGGUAACCGUAGGUGAACCUGCGGUUGGAUCAUUACUGAUAUCUAUCUUCCAGGCAUGUUGAUACCCUUUGGGAAUCCGUGUCUGGGGAUAAACAACCCUUUGUGCACCAUGUUGUUUUUUGGCAGCUUAUCUUGCCUGGGCCUUCGGGUUUGGGCAGAGGGUUGUCAGCUUUAUUUACAAACCUUUAUAUAAUUUGUCUUAUAUCUCUAUGAAAAUAGAAACAACUUUUGACAACGGAUCUCUUGGCUCUC
rnacentral:misc_RNA from 1 species